rnacentral:rRNA from 1 species
GACGAACGCUGGCGGCGUGCUUAACACAUGCAAGUCGAGCGGUAAGGCCCUUUCGGGGGUACGACGAGCGGCGAACGGGUGAGUAACACGUGGGUGACCUGCCCUUAGCUCUGGGAUAAGCCUGGGAAACUGGGUCUAAUACCGGAUAUGACUCCAUAACGCAUGUUGUGGGGUGGAAAGCCUUGUGCGGCUAGGGAGUCGGGCCCGCGGCCUAUCAGCUUGUUGGGUGGGGUGAU